GAGCUGGUACUGACGAAACGCCGUCUGGAUCUUACAGGCCGCUCGCCGGGAAAUCAGAGGACCGCCGUACUUCUGCUCCAGUUCCUCGAUCUGCAGCAGGAAUCGAGCUGCGGUUUCAAAUGACACAAGUGAGCAGUGGCUGACCCAGAUUCACCGUCUUUUAAUCUAGACUGAUCAGAACCCAGUGCGCACUCAAGACUAAUUAACUCUGCUUAAUUACUACAUGCAGGCUUUCACAGAUUUCAGAAUUUGACGCAGUCUUAAUGGAAAAUGAGGUUCUCUCUCGGUGUAGACAUGGGUUUACAACGCGCACAGGCACGCUGCUGACUGCAUUCACUGUCAGCACAUUAGCUGCUACCCUGGAGUAAAGGCCACUUAAGCUCUGUAAGCACUCAUACACGAGGAGCGGAGAGCAGGGCUUUCCAUCUUUCAUGCGCCGAGUGCUGCUCGCCUCUGAGGAACGACAACAAAUGCAGCAGAACCUUAAAAGAGAGUGAAAACAGACGCCGGAGCGCACGGUCACCACAGAUCAUUAGGUCGCUGCGCAAUCGAUCUGACAACCCAAACUGAAAUGUGAUAUACUGUAGCUCUUCAUAUGAGAGAGAGCGUGCGAUGAUGUCAUUUCCUGUGUUAUGCCUCAAUAACUAUGCUCUCAAGCUGUUAAAAAACUGAUUGUGAACGACAGGUUUCAACGUCGAGCAGAAACCCAGGCAGUCCCUCUGUGCAAAUAAAAGGUGAGAAACUACCGCACCAAAACCCUUUCCUGUUCAUUUGGGAAAUAACUGGCAAACAAUCACGAUAGGCUUUCGCAAAAAUUAAACUGCUCUCUCCCGUUCAUCGAUAAAACAUCAGUAAAACUUCAUUAGCGCUGCUUACUCUGGCUUACGGUUAGUGAUUAAACUUCAGUUCGCUCCUGAAGCAGCUCCAGAUAUCCCCACAAACUAACCCAAAGAAUAGCCUAGCAACCACAACCACAUAGAUGCUAAAAACACUAAAAAAGGAUUUCUGCACCGUAAAUCAUGUCAUUUCAAUGAGAAAAUACUGUAAAAAUGUUACAGUAAAAAUACUUAAUUGUGGCAAUUUAUAAAAAUCGGUUGUUUAACAGGACAUUGUGUGUAAUAUUUUGCAUGUAAUGUAAUUCCUAUAGAAAACCACAGUCAUUUCUACAAUAUCUACUGUGAAAAAUGUAAGUUCAACAUUCUUAUUUUUACAAUACUGUAAAAUGUACAAUGUUUUUUGUAUGUUAUGAAAAUUACUAAUAACAUUUAUGGUGGAAAAAUUGUAGGAUAUUCCCAAAAGACCCUACAUGACAAAAUAUAAGAACAUGUUUGAAUUGAUUGAAGCAAAGCAAGUGUAACACAAUACAUCAUUUCUGAAUUGAACAGAACAGAAUCCAACAGAAAAUAUUGACAUUAUUAUAGAUGUCAAAAUUAUUAGAAAAGAACCAAAUAGAGUGUAAUGCAACAGAACAGAUCAGAACAGCAUAUUUGAACUGAAUAGAACAGAAUUUUUUUACUAUAACUAUAUGCUGUCAAAAAAUUGUACUUAAAUUGUAAACUUUAACAUUCCAUUAUAUGUAAAUUUGGUAUGUAAAUUAUUUGUAUUACUAAUAAAUGUAUGGUGAAAACCCUACAAAAUGGAUCACAUUUAUUUUAAUUUAUGGGUAAAAUGCAUAUUUCAGUUGUUUGGUGUAUUGGUGUAUAACAUCACAUCGCUUAAUUAAAUAUAUGUUCUAAGUUUUAAAUUAUACAGGCAUCCUGUUAUACAGGAAUACUAUCUCUGUAUUUUUACAGCCAGUAUCAAAUUAACAAAAUACUUUUCACAUUGAAUUACAGGUGAGAAACAAAAUACAUUCAGGCUGCAUGCUUAUCUUGAUA